UACGAAGGGGGCUAGCGUUGCUCGGAAUGACUGGGCGUAAAGAGCGCGCAGGCGGUCGUUCAAGUCGAGUGUGAAAAGCCCCCGGCUCAACUGGGGAGGGUCACUCGAUACUGAUCGACUCGAAGGCAGAAGAGGGAAGCGGAAUUCCCGGUGUAGUGGUGAAAUGCGUAGAGAUCGGGAGGAACAUCUGUGGCGAAGGCGAACUGCCUGGACCAGCACUGACACUGAGGCCACGAAAGCGUGGGGAGCAAACAGGG
rnacentral:rRNA from 1 species